UACGGAGGGUGCGAGCGUUGUCCGGAAUCACUGGGCGUAAAGAGCGCGCAGGCGGUCGUUCAAGUCGCGUGUGAAAGCCCCCGGCUCAACUGGGGAGGGUCACGCGAUACUGAUCGACUGGAAGGCAGGAGAGGGUAGUGGAAUUCCCGGUGUAGUGGUGAAAUGCGUAGAUAUCGAGAGGAACACCGGUGGCGAAGGCGGCGAUCUGGACGAUGACUGACGCUGAGACGCGAAAGCGUGGGGAGCAAACAGG
rnacentral:rRNA from 1 species